CUGCAUCAAGGUCAGCACGAUAGCACUGUCUCUCUGUGCUUAGGGAGAGGCCUGUCCCGUACAUCCUGUGCUCCCGCAAGACGCCUACUACAACACUACCAAGACUGGCCUUCUUGCACCUGGAACAUCAUUCCAGAUGUGUAACGUCCUACAAUGAGCUGGCACAGCUUUUCUGCUCCAUGUGCUGGUCUGAAAGUGUGAAUCAUGGAAUAUUCUCCGGAGGUGUUGCUGAGAAAUUGGAAAAACAAAAGAUUUUGGCCCCUUCAAGGAUGUGCUUGAUGUGAGCUCUGUGGCCUGUAUGGUCUCCACUGUUAGCCUCAAUCUUUCAACUUUCCUGCAACAGAACUUUGGAAAUAAAGAG